AAAAACAUGUCUGUUUGAAUAUAAGAUCAGUCUGGCCUGUCCACUGUAAUAUUAAAGGGCUGCGGUAAUUUGACCGUGUGAAGGUAGCAUAAUCAUUAGUCUUUUAAUUGAAGACCUGUAUGAACGGUUGGACGAAAAAUUAACUGUCUUAAUGGUUUAAGUUGAAGUUAACUUUUAAGUGAAGAGGCUUAAAUAACUCUUAAAGACGAUAAGACCCUAUAAAACUUUACAUAUAUUAAUUAAUUUUAAUUAUUUGUAAAAAUUUUUAGAUUUGUGUUUCAUUGGGAAGAUGAAAGUAUAAACCUAGCUGCUUAGUUUUUAAUACAAAAAUAUUUGGGAUUAAUUGAUCCUUAAUAAGGAUAAAAGAAAAGUUACUUUAGGGAUAACAGCGUUAUUUUUUUUGAGAGUCCUUAUCGACAAAAAAGUUUGCGACCUCGAUGUUGAAUUAAAAUUUCUCUAUAAUGUAGCAGUUAUAAAGGUAAGUCUGUUCGACUUUUAAAAUUUUACAUGAUUUGAGUUCAAACCGGUGUAAGCCAGGUUGGUUUCUAU
rnacentral:rRNA from 1 species